rnacentral:rRNA from 1 species
CGCUGGCGGCAGGCUUAACACAUGCAAGUCGAACGGGCGUAGCAAUACGUCAGUGGUACGGGUGAGUAAUAUAGAAGAAUCGACUACAAAAGUUAGGGAUAGUGUUUAAAACAAAAUACCUAAUAUUUGUGAAAACAAUAAAGAUUAAUCGCUUUUGGAAGAGCUUCUAUAAGAUUAGGUAGUUGGUAGUGUAAUGGACUACCAAGCCAAAGAUCUUUAGUUGGUCUGAGAGGAUGAUCAGCCACACUGGGACUUAAAAAGGCCCAGACUCCCUUGGGAGGCAGCAGUGGGGAAUUUUGGACAAUGGGCGAAAGCUUGAUCCAGCAAUAUUACGUGAGUGAAGAAGAUCAUAUUCGUAAAACUCUAAAAUCAAGGAGGAUAAUGACGUUACUUGAUAAAAAGCCCUGGCUAACUUCGUGCCAGCAGCCGCGGUAAAACGGAGGGGGCAAGUGUUACUCGUCAUAAUUGGGCGUAAAGGGUGCGCAGAC